CCCUUGGAAAUGAGGGAUGUUUAUCGAAGAGUCAACUCAGAGACCUGGUGGCCUUAGGUGUGGAAUACUUUAUCCUGCUUUCCAAAGCAUGUCCCUGCAGGCACUAAAUUGGAGGAAAUUCCUUCCAGAACUCAAGCCCAGAAGGCUGACAAUGUUGUUGAUGGCAGUGUACUGAGUAAGCACAACCUUAACCACUGCAAUGUGUUUCUGAAGAGCAGGUCCAGCUGUGUUAAACUAUACACUUGAUGCUUUAUGGGGCCAAGGCAGAUUAGAUCAUGCAGAGAUGACCAGCCUGGGAUGAACUGAGACAGGAGUCUUGCUGCUAAGGUAGGAGCAGAAUAUUCAGGACCCAUGUGAGAGGAUCCAGAAGAGAAAGGUCAGUGUUGUGUGUGAAGACAGCCA